AGGCAGCCUGAGUUCAUGUUCCUAUGCAGGAAUCCCUUCCUGACAUUUCUCAAGGACCUUAUCCGCUUUUUCAAAUCUCCAAUCCUGGAAAUAAUCAGUGGAGAAACUGAGGAGAUGUGUGGCAGUUCUCAAGUGUGAAUGAAACCUUAACUAUCCACAGAGAUGUGUCUAGAUCAGAAGAAUCCACAGACAUCACGGGAAUACACAAGCACAGGGAACACAGAGAAGGGCAUCCAGCAUCAAAGUUAACAUUUGGGGUCACUGGGACAGGAGCACGUAGAAGUAGAACCCGUAUGAUUUCAUGGGUCAGUCUUGCUUGCAGUUGUGGCCGUACUAUGACGUCUGCUGGUGGCUCUGUCUGCUGCCAAAAGUGAGUCAUUGUUGCUGAUAAAAGAAAAGCUAAUACACUUACAGUCACAGUAUACUUUAUACACAUUCCAGGAAGGAUGUAUCAAAAAUGACACACCUUGGAAGCAAUAUUUUCCUCUGGCUGAAACCAACCAGAAGCACAAAACCAGGAACCCGAGAGAUGCAGCUCGUAGAGGAGAGAAAACAAGAGUGGACUGGGAGGACCAUUGGGUGGAUGAGGAAUCAAUAGAGAAACAAACAGUUCCAUCUGCCGUUUAUGGGUAAAAGAGAGCAGAUGAAGAAGACAUGGUUACCUAUGGCUUGGUGAUUUGGCCACUUCCCUUUUCUGGGACAAACUCAGAUUGUCAAUUUUGUGAACAAAGAACAGUUUUUAUUCUACAUGCAUCAUGAGAGCCACAUGGAGGGACAGCUCCAUUUGCCCCUGGAAGAAUCUGGCAGACACUGGGAAGUCAGCGGUAAGAAAGAAGUGAAGAUAUUUGGGUUGGUCAAUGUCAAGCCAUAGCAUCCUGGGAGACAGCUUCACCAGGAGUGGGAGAACUAGAGACUCAACUUCCAUCUGUUCUCUCUCCUCAGCCAUGGUCACUGGAUUAUAAUAAUAAUGACAACAGUGAUAAAAUUGGUGGUAACAGCAGAGAAGGGAGGUCACUACCAGGAUAUACAGCCAUGGAGUUCAUCAAGGAAAACAGACUGACUGCCUGCCAUCUUGGAUUGUAAUGACACUUAUGGAUGGCUCAGAGCUAAGUGAUGACAAACUGGAGAUGAGAGGCAGAGACACGGACAGAAAGUCAAUCCUCUUAUGGUGGAAUCAGUUCUUUUGUAGACCCCGCUGUCCUUGGCUCCUGCAACAGCUAAAAAGGUGAUUUCUGAAAAGAAACCUCUUACUGUUUUGAAAUGCAAAUGCAAGUCUUCUUAAGCUUGACUUACACAUGAACUCAAGGGCCAUUUGGUUUUGCAUGUUGUUAAAAAUAUUGUUCACUUGCCUGUAAAGUAUCAUUGUGUCUUGGAUGCCUUAGCUUAACCAUCUGACAGCUCCUUUAUCCCCCAACUGGAAGAAAAAUAGGAGACUUCUUAAAGCUAGUUACAGCCCCUUAUGGGAUGUUCUCACAAGGAAAAGUCUGAAUAAGAAACCCCUGCCUUGACUUCCUCUCUGACAUUAUUGAUCCUGUUGGCUUUGGUUCCCACAUCUGUCACCUGAGCCACACCCUCUACACCAUUAACAUGGAAAUGGAACUUUGAUACCGAGAGGAGUGCCUUACACCAAGACCUCUAAAUCUGAAGUCUAAUCUUUUCCAGAAUUCCAUAGUGUAGUCUCAAUAGCAAUGCUUGAACCUGUCAUUCAGUUAAGUGCAUAGUAUUCAGUGCACUCUGCUUAGCACUCGGUAGGAAACAAAGUUCAAUGAGACACAAAAGCUAACCUCAAAGAAUUAAAUUCUGGGCAGAAGGAUAAUCAAACUAGACAGAGAUUUAUAAUACAUGGUGUAAGCCAAGUGGUGCCAUAACAUGAACAUUGCUGUAGUUGCUGCCUGGUACCCAUUUUAGAAGAUAACUCCAACUGGUCUUUGGAAAACCAUCCUUCUCUUACUCUCAGUUCAUCUGGUUAAGGGAUAACUGCCACUAAACAAGUUUUAAGGCAGAUGUGAGAGCAAGGUGACACCAAACAGAACAUCACACACAGACUCAUACACAGACACAGGAACACGCAGAUGCACACACAGUAGUAGCAGUGAUUAGUUCAAGAGGCAAAGAGUCAAUGUAGGACCCAAGCCAAGUCAAGGAGAGACAAUGAGAAUCAAUUCUAAAACUGUUAGGGAGCAAACAAAGAAGAGACAUCUUCAGUCCUUGGAUCCAAGAUCACUGAAGGUGGAGCCUGGAGCUGCCGGGGCCUGCCCACAGCAGUCAGCGUUCGUGCACAGGUGAAGUUGGAGAGAAGACAGCACAUCCUCAAUACAACCAGAACCUUUGGGUCCAGCCACUGCUAGAGUUUUUCAUCACAUGUCAAUAAAUCCCUGUAUAAAUUACUUUUUUGACUUC